GAUACCCUAUUAUUUUAAAUGUAAUUUUGAAAACUAAAAUUAUUAAUAGUUAUGUUCUUUAAAAUUAAAAAAUUUGGCGGUGUUUUAGUCUUUUCAGAGGAACCUGUUUUUUAAUCGAUAGUCCACGAUAAACUUUACUUUAGCUUUAAAUUUAUAUAUCGUCGUUUAUAAAGAUUUUAUUAGGAUUAUAAUUUUUAAUAUUUUUUAUUAAAAGUUAAUUCAGAUCAAGGUGUAGUUUAUGUUAAAGAGGGAAUGGGUUACAUUAAAUUUAUUUAUGGCUUUAUUAUUGAUAAUUUUAAAUAAAUUGGAUUUGAAAGUAAUUAUUAUAUUUUUAUAUAAUGAUUUAGCUCUAAAAUAUGCACACAUCGCC
rnacentral:rRNA from 1 species